GUGAGGAAUAUUGGUCAAUGGGCGGGAGCCUGAACCAGCCAAGUCGCGUGAAGGAAGAAGGAUCUAUGGUUCGUAAACUUCUUUUGCAGGGGAAUAAAGUGCAGGACGUGUCCUGUUUUGUAUGUACCCUAAGAAUAAGGAUCGGCUAACUCCGUGCCAGCAGCCGCGGUAAUACGGAGGAUCCGAGCGUUAUCCGGACUUAUUGGGUUUAAAGGGUGCGUAGGUGGUUUGAUAAGUCAGCGGUGAAAGUUUGCAGCUUAACUGUAAAAAUGCCGUUGAAACUGUCGGACUUGAGUGUAAAUGAGGUAGGCGGAAUGCGUGGUGUAGCGGUGAAAUGCAUAGAUAUCACGCAGAACUCCGAUUGCGAAGGCAGCUUACUAAGCUACAACUGACACUGAAGCACGAAAGCGUGGGGAUCAAACAGGAUUAGAAACCCUGGUAGUCC
rnacentral:rRNA from 1 species